GGCAAGUUGCCCGAGUGGCCAAAGGGAGCUGACUGUAAAUCAGCCGCGAGAGCUUCACAGGUUCGAAUCCUGUACUUGCCA
rnacentral:tRNA from 1 species